CCUACGGGUGGCAGCAGUGAGGAAUAUUGGUCAAUGGCCGAGAGGCUGAACCAGCCAAGUCGCGUGAGGGAAGACGGCCCUACGGGUUGUAAACCUCUUUUGUCGGGGAGCAAAGCGAGUCACGUGUGACUCAUUGAGAGUACCCGAAGAAAAAGCAUCGGCUAACUCCGUGCCAGCAGCCGCGGUAAUACGGAGGAUGCGAGCGUUAUCCGGAUUUAUUGGGUUUAAAGGGUGCGUAGGCGGAAGGUUAAGUCAGCGGUCAAAUGUCGGUGCUCAACACCGGCCUGCCGUUGAAACUGGUCUUCUUGAGUGAGCGAGAAGUAUGCGGAAUGCGUGGUGUAGCGGUGAAAUGCAUAGAUAUCACGCAGAACUCCGAUUGCGAAGGCAGCAUACCGGCGCUCAACUGACGCUGAGGCACGAAAGCGUGGGGAUCGAACAGGAUUAGAUACCCUAGUAGUC
rnacentral:rRNA from 1 species